rnacentral:rRNA from 1 species
GAUGAACGCUGGCGGCGUGCCUAAUACAUGCAAGUCGAGCGAACGGACGAGAAGCUUGCUUCUCUGAUGUUAGCGGCGGACGGGCGAGUAACACGUGGAUAACCUACCUAUAAGACUGGGAUAACUUCGGGAAACCGGAGCUAAUACCGGAUAAUAUUUUGAACCGCAUGGUUCAAAAGUGAAAGACGGUCUUGCUGUCACUUAUAGAUGGAUCCGCGCUGCAUUAGCUAGUUGGUAAGGUAACGGCUUACCAAGGCAACGAUGCAUAGCCGACCUGAGAGGGUGAUCUGCCACACUGGACCUGAGACACGGUCCAGACUCCUACGGGAGGCAGCAGUAGGGAAUCUUCCGCAAUGGGCGAAAGCCUGACGGAGCAACGCCGCGUGAGUGAUGAAGGUCUUCGGAUCGUAAAACUCUGUUAUUAGGGAAGAACAUAUGUGUAAGUAACUGUGCACAUCUUGACGGUACCUAAUCAGAAAGCCACGGCUAACUACGUG